rnacentral:misc_RNA from 1 species
GUGAAUCAUCAAAUUUUUGAACGCAAAUUGCGCUCUCUGGUAUUCCGGGGAGUAUGCCUGUUUGAGGGUCAGUUUAAAUAAAAAUCGGUGUGGUGGCUGCGUGUCGUGGUGGUGAAAGGGAUGUGGGUAGUAUUGCUUUCGGUUAAGUGGGCUAAAAUGUUGAAUGAUUUUUUCGAACGUAUUGAAAUGAUGUUACGUAGGUUUGAGAUAUCGUAUACUAGGUGCUGUCAUUCUCAUGAUCAG